GGCUUCUUUACAGAGAGGGAGGGACCAGGUUCCCAGUGUGAGUGAUGUUUAAAGAUUUUCUGAGAAGCACAAGGACUGGACUUUGACAGGAAGCAACGAGGCAAGAGGGAAGCUCGAGAACAGGUUUUGCUGAUGAUUCCCCCCAAGAAAAGUGCUCCCCGGGAGGCCGUUCCUGGCACCAAGACUGGCGGAGCCACCACACCCGUUAAAGGGAUCCACCUGGACAGCGAUCAGGCAGACAGAGUUUCACCGUGUUGGCCAGGCUGGUCUCGAACUCCUGACCUCAAGUGAUCUGCCUGCCCUGGCUUCCCAAAGUGCUGGGAUUACAGGCGUGAGCCACCGCGCCCGGCCAAAUGUUUAGAAGCACAACUUCUAAUGUUCAGGUGUGUUGCUGGUGUCCUGCAGACAUUAAUCACUACCCAAGAAGACUUGUUAAAAUUUUGCCCUUGAACAUGGGAAGCUGAAGAUGAGGCUCUGGAUUUACGAUAGCCCUAAACCCAGGAUGAGCCUAAAGAGAAGACCUUAAAUCAUAAACAGCUUUGUCACCAAUCAUCUUUCUAUCCUACUCUAACUCCAACCCCCCUCCCCAACCCAUCCUUAAAGGAAAUCAAAACCACUUUUAUUUUUCUUAUUUUCUAGCUUUUAGAGGCAACUGUCAUAUCAACGCUUCAUGAACACUGUGUGUCUGUGACGUCAGCAUCUAGAAAGUUGAGAAAUGUGAGGUGACUGAAACUAUGAAAAAAAAAACUGAGGAACUCUCUGAAUACACAAAGAGCCAGUUUAUUUGCAUGAGACUUUGAGAGAUGGGCUUUCCAUAUAGAUGGUGCUAAACUGUAUUUUAAAAUCUUACUACAAUUCUCAUGGUAAUCUG